GCCUGUAGCCUAGUGGCUAAGGUACAUGACUGGGACCCUUGAGGUUGGUGGUUCAAGCUCCAGUCCAGCCA
rnacentral:tRNA from 1 species